rnacentral:rRNA from 1 species
GACGAACGCUGGCGGCGUGCCUAAUACAUGCAAGUCGAGCGCAGGAAAUCGACGGAACCCUUCGGGGGGAAGUCGAUGGAAUGAGCGGCGGACGGGUGAGUAACACGUAAAGAACCUGCCCUCAGGUCUGGGAUAACCACGAGAAAUCGGGGCUAAUACCGGAUGGGUCAUCGGACCGCAUGGUCCGAGGAUGAAAGGCGCUUCGGCGUCGCCUGGGGAUGGCUUUGCGGUGCAUUAGCUAGUUGGUGGGGUAAUGGCCCACCAAGGCGACGAUGCAUAGCCGACCUGAGAGGGUGAUCGGCCACACUGGGACUGAGACACGGCCCAGACUCGUACGGGAGGCAGCAGAAGGGAAUCUUCCACAAUGGACGAAAGUCUGAUGGAGCAACGCCGCGUGAACGAUGAAGGCCUUCGGGUCGUAAAGUUCUGUUGUAAGGGAAGAACAAGUGCCGCAGGCAAUGGCGGCACCUUGACGGUACCUUGCGAGAAAGCCACGGCUAACUACGUGCCAGCCGCCGCCGUAACAC